rnacentral:rRNA from 1 species
UACGUAGGGGGCAAGCGUUGUCCGGAAUUAUUGGGCGUAAAGAGCUCGUAGGCGGUCUGUCGCGUCUGCUGUGAAAACUCAGGGCUUAACCCUGAGCUUGCAGUGGGUACGGGCAGACUAGAGUGCGGUAGGGGGUGACUGGAAUUCCUGGUGUAGCGGUGGAAUGCGCAGAUAUCAGGAGGAACACCGAUGGCGAAGGCAGGUCACUGGGCCGCAACUGACGCUGGAGGA